AAAGACCCAAAAUGGAAUGGUAAAAGGAAGUAAUUUUGAUUAUAAAUUUUACUAUAUUUAUUUUUAAAUUAAAAUUAAAUAAUAAAAAAUAAGUUAUUUUAUUGAAAAAUAUUUUCUAUAAAAAACAAUACAUAAAAAUAUUUUCUAAAUAUAAGUUAUUUUUUGUUAAGAAAUUUAUGAAAUUUAUUGGUAAAUAUCCUUAAUGUAUUUGAUAUGCAUAAAAAAUUCAUUUGAACGUUGUUUUGGUAAAUAAUUGUUUGUUCUUGCAUAUUGAUCUUUAAAAUAAUUUUGAAAAUUCAAAAUUUAUUAAUUACCGCAGCUUUAUAAUUAAGAAGAAUAAUUUGAUCAUAUAUUUGACUCUGUGGUAUGCUCGAAGAAGCUUCCCGCAGGGCGUUGCAGCGUAGGCGAAUGAAAGCAGCCCGCUCUUUCUGGAUUCUCAAGUCAUCGGUGAGUUUCUGAGGUUCUCCUGUUUGUUGAUCUUCAUCUCCUGUAAGCUUUGGCUGCUCUGAGCAACGCAAGAAAUGUGUAUUUAUAUCUCUACUUGUGUGAAUUAUCUUCUCCUACGUAAUAUCUCUUCAGUUUCAGCAAUAAUUUGAAGGUGAUGAAGAUAGGAGACGGAAGUAUAUAUAAAGAUGGAAGAAAUUAGCCGCCCUCUUGUUCUAAUUAAUACAUCUGAUUGAGAUUUCGGGUAUGCGUUUCUUGCAUACAGUAAAAAACCAGAUGAAUAUAUCAUGAGAGUAGUGCAGUUGACUCUACUGCUGUUGUUAUUGUCCCUUUGUUUUCCCUUGUAGUGCUUUGUUUUAUUGAUCUACUCAUGAAACAGCUAUGUGGAUGGCUUGCCAUUAUAUUUUAUUGAAGUUUCUAUGGUUGUCUCAGCUGCUAGUAGUAGUAAUUUCGCCAUUAUUAAUUUUCUAUUGAUUAUUUCUGAGGCUGGAGAAUUAUGAGAG
rnacentral:lncRNA from 1 species